rnacentral:rRNA from 1 species
AGUGAACGCUGGCGGUAGGCCUAACACAUGCAAGUCGAACGGCAGCACAGUAAGAGCUUGCUCUUACGGGUGGCGAGUGGCGGACGGGUGAGGAAUACAUCGGAAUCUACUUUUUCGUGGGGGAUAACGUAGGGAAACUUACGCUAAUACCGCAUACGACCUACGGGUGAAAGCAGGGGAUCUUCGGACCUUGCGCGAUUGAAUGAGCCGAUGUCGGAUUAGCUAGUUGGCGGGGUAAAGGCCCACCAAGGCGACGAUCCGUAGCUGGUCUGAGAGGAUGAUCAGCCACACUGGAACUGAGACACGGUCCAGACUCCUACGGGAGGCAGCAGUGGGGAAUAUUGGACAAUGGGCGCAAGCCUGAUCCAGCCAUACCGCGUGGGUGAAGAAGGCUUUCGGGUUGUAAAGCCCUUUUGUUGGGAAAGAAAAGCAGCAGGUUAACACCCCGCUGUUCUGACGGUACCCAAAGAAUAAGCACCGGCUAACUUCGUG